GUCAGAGUUUGAUCCUGGCUCAGAUUGAACGCUGGCGGAAUGCUUUACACAUGCAAGUCGAACGGUAGAGGGGGCAACCCCUUGAGAGUGGCGAACGGGUGAGUAAUAUAUCGGAACGUGCCCAGUCGUGGGGGAUAACGUAGCAAAAGUUACGCUAAUACCGCAUACGAUCUAAGGAUGAAAGCGGGGGAUCGCAAGACCUCGCGCGAUCGGAGCGGCCGAUGUCAGAUUAGGUAGUU
rnacentral:rRNA from 1 species